ACUGAACGCUGGCGGCAGGCCUAACACAUGCAAGUCGAGCGGAUGAAGGGAGCUUGCUCCUGGAUUCAGCGGCGGACGGGUGAGUAAUGCCUAGGAAUCUGCCUGGCAGAGGGGGAUAACGUCCGGAAACGGGCGCUAAUACCGCAUACGUCCUGAGGGAGAAAGUGGGGGAUCUUCGGACCUCACGCUAUCAGAUGAGCCUAGGUCGGAUUAGCUAGUUGGUGGGGUAAAGGCCUACCAAGGCGACGAUCCGUAACUGGUCUGAGAGGAUGAUCAGUCACACUGGAACUGAGACACGGUCCAGACUCCUACGGGAGGCAGCAGUGGGGAAUAUUGGACAAUGGGCGAAAGCCUGAUCCAGCCAUGCCGCGUGUGUGAAGAAGGUCUUCGGAUUGUAAAGCACUUUAAGUUGGGAGGAAGGGCAGUAAGUUAAUACCUUGCUGUUUUGACGUUACCAACAGAAUAAGCACCGGCUAACUUCGUG
rnacentral:rRNA from 1 species